GACGAACGCUGGCGGCGUGCCUAAUACAUGCAAGUAGAACGCUGAAGGAGGAGCUUGCUCUUCUGGAUGAGUUGCGAACGGGUGAGUAACGCGUAGGUAACCUGCCUGGUAGCGGGGGAUAACUAUUGGAAACGAUAGCUAAUACCGCAUAAAAUUGAUUAUUGCAUGAUAGUCAAUUAAAAGGUGCAAUUGCAUCACUACCAGAUGGACCUGCGUUGUAUUAGCUAGUUGGUGAGGUAACGGCUCACCAAGGCAACGAUACAUAGCCGACCUGAGAGGGUGAUCGGCCACACUGGGACUGAGACACGGCCCAGACUCCUACGGGAGGCAGCAGUAGGGAAUCUUCGGCAAUGGACGGAAGUCUGACCGAGCAACGCCGCGUGAGUGAAGAAGGUUUUCGGAUCGUAAAGCUCUGUUGUAAGAGAAGAACGAGUGUGAGAGCGGAAAGUUCACACUGUGACGGUAUCUUACCAGAAAGGGACGGCUAACUACGUG
rnacentral:rRNA from 1 species